GACGAACGCUGGCGGCGUGCUUAACACAUGCAAGUCGAGCGGUAAGGACCCUUUCGGGGGUACACGAGCGGCGAACGGGUGAGUAACACGUGGGUGACCUGCCCGUCAGCUCUGGGAUAAGCCUGGGAAACCGGGUCUAAUACUGGAUAUGACUCCAUGACGCAUGUUGUGGGGUGAAAGCCUUGUNCGGCUGAGGAUGGGCCCGCGGCCUAUCAGCUUGUUGGUGGGGUGANGGCCUACCAAGCGACGACGGUAGCCGGCCU
rnacentral:rRNA from 1 species